GACAUCACAACAGUUUAAUAUGUUAACUUAUUCAUUAAAUUGUGCUUCACAUCAAUGGGAAUUCUCAGUUCUACAAACUAUCAUUUUUAAAUAGCAAUAAAGGUUGAUAAUCUCACAAUACAAUCUCCUAGUACCCGAGUUCAUACAUAGUAUUGCACAGAAACAUAAAGAGAUAUCUUAGGAGAAAUCACUUACUAUCUAUUGGAUAACUAUCUUUACAUCUAAAAUGGGGCACCAGACACAAGUCCAGAUUCUUCUUUCCACCAUUUUCCACUAUGGAUUUGUGAAAUGAAAAAUAAUACAAGCAAAACACAGAAGGUCUUUUUAGGGAGGGAGGUGUGGAGAAGGAAGGAAAAGAAAAGAUGGUCACAUGAUUAAAAAAAUGACAAGCUGGUGGAAAUAAAUGGGACAAUGACUAAAUCAUACUGUCAUUGUCACGACGACCAUGACAAACAGAUGCUGCUCCCUCAGUUUUCCCCAGAAAGAACUGAAGCCUUUCAGCACUGACAUCUGGCCCUUUGAUAAAUUCCCACAAACUACAACAGAACUUGUAACCCACGGAGGCUCCAUUUAAUGUGCCCAAGCAUGACAGCUAUACUUUUGUCCAUAAACGACCUAGAACACAGGCUCAAAAACAUCUGUGCUCCCGUGU
rnacentral:lncRNA from 1 species